AAAAACUUUUUACAAAAUAAUUUAGCCGACCAUAAUGUUAAAAAAAAAAAAAAGGGAUAAAAGACAUUACCAAAAAUCGACGCAACGUGAAUUUAUUUCCCAAUUUUUCUCGGUUUCUGCGCGUGUUUUCUCUUCCCAAAUUUCGGGCAGCCGUUUUGCAUGUAUACUUCCUCUUCUCUGCUUGCGUAAUUCCCUGGUUUUUUGUUUGUCGUGUUCUCUCUAUGUAUCUAUCCAAUUCAGCCCUCAACUUUGUGUGGAUAUAUAUUCAAUUCAGCCACACCAACUUUCUCCCCAAAGCUACCACUUUUUUGUCUCUGUAAUAUAUUUAAUUUGGCCCUCAAUUGUUUUUCUCCAGAAGCAGCCGCCCGUUUUCUAUGUUUGUGCAGUAUAUCUCCGCCGCCUUUUUGUGUAUAUACGUUUCUCUCUCCCAUAUAAAUUU
rnacentral:lncRNA from 1 species